AGCAAUCUAUACGGUGAAACUGCGAAUGGCUCAUUAAAUCAGUUAUCGUUUAUUUGAUAGUACCUUACUACUUGGAUAACCGUGGUAAUUCUAGAGCUAAUACAUGCUAAAAACCCCGACUUCGGAAGGGGUGUAUUUAUUAGAUAAAAAACCAAUGCCCUUCGGGGCUCCUUGGUGAUUCAUAAUAACUUAACGAAUCGCAUAGCCUUGUGCUGGCGAUGGUUCAUUCAAAUUUCUGCCCUAUCAACUUUCGAUGGUAGAGUAGUGGUCUACCAUGGUUUCAACGGGUAACGGGGAAUUAGGGUUCUAUUCCGGAGAGGGAGCCUGAGAAACGGCUACCACAUCCAAGGAAGGCAGCAGGCGCGCAAAUUACCCAAUCCCGACACGGGGAGGUAGUGACAAUAAAUACUGAUACAGGGCUCUUUUGGGUCUUGUAAUUGGAAUGAGUACAAUUUAAAUCCCUUAACGAGGAACAAUUGGAGGGCAAGUCUGGUGCCAGCAGCCGCGGUAAUUCCAGCUCCAAUAGCGUAUAUUAAAGUUGUUGCAGUUAAAAAGCUCGUAGUUGAACCUUGGGCCUGGCUGGCCGGUCCGCCUCACCGCGUGCACUGGUCCGGCCGGGCCUUUCCUUCUGGGGAGCCGCAUGCCCUUCACUGGGUGUGUCGGGGAACCAGAACUUUUACUUUGAAAAAAUUAGAGUGUUCAAAGCAGGCCUAUGCUCGAAUACAUUAGCAUGGAAUAAUAGAAUAGGACGUGUGGUUCUAUUUUGUUGGUUUCUAGGACCGCCGUAAUGAUUAAUAGGGAUAGUCGGGGGCAUCAGUAUUCAAUUGUCAGAGGUGAAAUUCUUGGAUUUAUUGAAGACUAACUACUGCGAAAGCAUUUGCCAAGGAUGUUUUCAUUAAUCAGUGAACGAAAGUUAGGGGAUCGAAGACGAUCAGAUACCGUCGUAGUCUUAACCAUAAACUAUGCCGACUAGGGAUCGGGCGAUGUUAUCUUUUUGACUCGCUCGGCAC
rnacentral:rRNA from 1 species